ensembl:ncRNA lncRNA:CR44694 long non-coding RNA:CR44694
UAGUGGGAUUGUGUUAUUAAUUUUGGUCACUGAUACUAGAUCUUUUUAACGAAAGUGUAUAUUUUGGGUGAAGCAUUAGAAAUGAUAAAAUCUAACAAAAGAAAAUAGACCAAGAAGUGACGAACACCUGCCCCAACCGAAAGCCAAAUAAAUGUGCCAUUGGCAAUUUUCCACCAACUUUGUGAUGAGAAUUGAUUAAGUUAUCACUGCAUAUGAUCAACACUAUUGAAACAAUGUAAUUUGUUAACUUCUUAAACCUUACAGCUAUUAAGCAUAGAGUGUUGCUUUUUAUACCCGUUCAUUGUAGACUAAAAGGGUAUACUACAUUCGUUGAACAGAAUUUACAGC